CACGUAGGGUGCGAGCGUUGUCCGGAAUUAUUGGGCGUAAAGAGCUCGUAGGCGGUGUGUCACGUCGGCCGUGAAAACCUACAGCUUAACUGUGGGCGUGCGGUCGAUACGGGCAUCACUGGAGUUCGGCAGGGGAGACUGGAAUUCCUGGUGUAGCGGUGAAAUGCCCAGAUAUCAGGAGGAACACCGGUGGCGAAGGCGGGUCUCUGGGCCGUAACUGACGCUGAGGAGCGAAAGCAUGGGGAGCGAACAGG
rnacentral:rRNA from 1 species